CCCCACUUCCCUAGGGCACUCGCCUUUCCGGAAAUGCGCUUGCCCAGCGGGCAGCCUCCACAUCCCGGGGAGGUCUCAGCCUCACCCUCCCAGCUGCCACGCCCUGACCUGGUCCUCACCAGCCCCUGCCCACCCAGAGCCUUUCUGGGGCACAAUGGCUGGCUCUCCGUGGAGUGGAGGAUGUAGGCGUGGAUCAGAGAAUCGCCAGAGUGUGAUCCAGCCGUGAUGAAGAGGGGUGCCUGAUGCUCUCGGAAUUCAGGAUGGUGAUCCGACCUGCUGUGAAGCAGUCACCGAGGAUGCGGGUUCGCUGCUGCUGCCAAGGCCUGUACCUUAGCUACUUGGUCCUUCAACACACCCAUUCUCAGCAGGCUUCCCUCAUCUGACCCGUCCUAUGCUGAUAUGCCGUUCUGAACCUGGGAGCAGUGACUUUCCUAUCUCUUGUCACUAAGAGACCUUCUUGUCACUUAAGUGUGCUUCUUGCCUCUUAUCAAUUAAACUAUGGUAUAAAUUUCUAAGGGGGCUUCCCUGGUGGCUCAGAUAGGAAAGAAUUCACCUGCAGUGUGGGAGACCUGGGAUCAAUCCCUGGGUUGGGAAGAUCCCCUGGAGGAGGGCAUGGCAACCCAACCCACUCCAGUAUCCUUGCCUGGAGAAUCCCACGGACAGAGGAGUCUGGCGGGUUACAGUCCAGUUCAUGGGGUCGCAAAGAAUUGGACAGGACUGAGCAGUUGUCCUGCACAUAAGCGUCUAAAAGGCAGAAUCCAUGUAAUUCUGCAAGACAGAUUUUAACAAAUCCCUUUAAAUUUAACUGCAAGUGAUCUUUAUCAUCCUGAGAGGCCUCUAAGGUUACCUUUGCAGUAACUGUUUUAGAUUGCUUUCAGAGAAUACUUGAGAUUGUUGAUUAAUCACUCAGUUCUGUCUGACUCUUUGCAACCCCAUGAAUUGUAGCCCACCAGGCUCCUCUGUCCAUGGGAUUUCCUAGGCAGGAAUACUGGAGUGGAUUGCCAUUUCCUUCUCCAGGGGAUCUUCCUGACUCAGGGAUCGAACCCAUGUCUCCUGCAAGUCUGCUACAUUGCAGGCAGAUUUUUUACUGCUGAGCCACCAGGGAAGCCCAUUUUCCCUACGUUUGUUGGUUUUCCCCAGAUCAUAAGUCCCACUUCUCAAAGUAAAGGCCAGAAAUGUGCUUUCUUAGACUCCCUUGCAGCUAAGAUAUAGGUGUGUGACCUGCAUUCCACCAAUCAGAUGCAACAAUAUGAGACUGAUUUGGAAGAGAGCAACUGAGGAAGCAGGGACCCAGAAAAGGGGGCGGGGGAGGCACCUCACCUUUAGAGUAACAGAGGAGAUGCUUGGGGAUCCACCCAGCUGAUGGGAGUGAGGUGAGGCAAGUUAUAGAAUUCAUGCUGAUUGACAGCUGCUAUGGUAGCUUUGCUGGAAGAGUACCUCUGGGUGGUCUGGCUGUCAUCUCUGAAUACUGGACCUUUGUACCAAUCAUCCCUUCUGGAUUCUGUAAGCCUCUUAAUCUUUUUAAGUAAGUUCCUUUUCUGUUAAAGUGGAUUCUGUGGUUUGCAACUAAGAUCUCUGAUACAGAUGGUUGGACUGAUGGAUGAGUAGUUUCUUCCUCUUCUUCUUUUUUCAAACAAUGGAAUGAUGUUACUAGUACAAUAAUAAAAAGCUAUCAGAAGCCCAGACCUAGGAGAGCUCAAAGUCCAGUGCAGCACAGAUCAGCACAGUGAACGUGGAAGCCAGGUCUGAACACUGGGUGUUCCAAGACACGAUGAUCUCUGGAGAUACCAUGACUUUGGACUCAGAUCCUGCUGUCUCAGCCAGCCUGCCCUACCACCAGCAAAAUGCCUGCUUUCUUUCUUCUCCCCUCUGAACCCCACACCAAAGGCUGUGCCCACCACUCAGAGGCAUGCGCUUGGCUCAUCCUGCCUUGUGACAUUGUUCCUGUUUACCCAACAAUCUCAUUUUACCAUGAGCAAGGAUGACAAGCACAUUUGUGACUCAUCCCAUAUUGUUCUGCCCUCUCCCUGCUCUGGACUCCCGGCGGCACUGCCUGUCUUUCCCUUGGCUGGCAAUACCACAACCUUGCUCUGCAGCUCUUUUUCACAUGGGCACAUCCCAUUGCCCAGCACAGACUCAGCUCCAUGGAGGCUGAGACUGCAAUUAAUGUGAUUUUUGCACAGGUAUGCAGGAUGAAGGAUUUUAUGAUAUGUCUAUAGAAGGUGAGAAUCAUAUGGUUUCGUUUCACUUUGAUGACUUCACCAUAGCAAAAUUAUAAGCUUUUGCAGACAGAGGCCUUUUCCUUCCUCCCUUCCUUCCUUCAUUUGUUCAUUCAUUCAGCACACAGUGAGUAACUAUGAUGUGCCAAGCACUGUGCUGUGUGCUGGAAAUUUAAUAAGGCAUAAAUCCUUUUCUUAAGGUGUUCACAAUGUAAUAGUAAGAAACAGAUAUAUUGGCAAAUAAACAGGAAAAAAAGUGAUAGAGUUCACAUAGGCAAGUGUGCAAGGUAGAGAAGAGAGUGACUGGUUGAGGACAGAAAGAGCUUUUCCAUAGGAAUAAUACCAAGUGCUCUCUCCAGGACAGCCCUGUCUUCGGUACAGUACUUGACCUAUGCUCAUUCACUUAAUCCUUACAAUCCAAAGCAAGUGCUAUUAUUACCCCCAUUUUGCAGGUGAGGAAACUAAAGCCUAGAGAGGUUUAAUGUCUUAGAAGUUUGCACGCUGGUGAGCUGCAGGGCCAAUCUGUGCACCUAGGGCUCUCUGCUCUAACAGUGAGUGUAACUGUUGUGCCGUACUGCCCUGAAUGAAUUCUGGAAAGGGGAGUAAGGGAUUACUAAGCAUGGUGGCCUUCUACACAGGACAGGGCACGGAGUGGCUCAUGCCUGUUCUGCUGUUCUGCUCAGGUGGGACCUAGGUGCAUCGGAGAAUGGGGUAGUGCAGGGAUGGCCACUCGGCGACGGGUGAGAACUCACUGCCACAGUCUUGUACUUUGGUUGUUCCCUUUGUUUCCUGGUGGUUAAUUGCAGUGCUAAAGAGUGGCAACCUAAACAGAAUUGUGAGGUUGGCAGAAUGGGCUUUUCCUCCUCAGGACUGGAUCGGGGGUACCCCUGGCUUUGGAGUCACAGGGACUUGGGAUCCGGUCCCAAGCCCUGCAGCUGACUGGCUGAGUGACUUUGAGUAAGUCACUCAACAUCUCGGAACCUCACUAUUCUUGACUGUUAAUUGAUGAUAAAACCUCAGUGCUGACGUAAGAUUAAAUGAGAUAAUGCAUGUAGAUCAGUUUAGAACUACUGCCUAGCAUGUAGCAAGCUGGCCAAAAAUGGAAUCUAAGUCCCAAUCCCUUAUCUACAGCUCCAAAACCUUAAAAAGCUCUGAAAAGGAAACACAUGUGGCAACAAAACCUGUCCUGAACCAGUGCGAAGUGAAGUCUUUCUUUAGUUGCACCUAGUAUUAUUUGCAUUUGCAGAAAGGGAAGUGCAAUUGCACCUAGUAUAAUGAUCCAUUAUCCAUACACUUUAUUACAGAAACAUCAAUGUAUUUGAAUAGAGAAUGCAGCCCACAUCCUACUAGAGGCAUUGCAAAGUAUAUACUACAGACAGCCAUGUUGCUUUUCUAAAAUUGAAACCAAAAGCCCUGCAUUACAAAGCACAUCUGACCCCAAAAACACCAGAUAGGGGGUUCAGAUUGGCAUCAGCUUCCCUCUGGACCACUCUAUCUACUUCUGAUCUACUUCUUAAUCCCAGUUGCUCAAAUGGUCCUUGGCAUCUGGAACCAACCCUUGGUUCCAACAGAAAUAUAUAUCCAUCCACACACCCUUUGGGCUUCCCACAGGCUUGCCUCCUGCAACCAAGUUCCUUUGCUCCCAAUGACUCCUCCACUCUACUCUCUGCCAACCCCAUAGAAUUUGGGGGCUUUUUUCUCCCAUACCCUGGUAGAGAAGAUGAACUACGGACAUGUGUCCUCCUCUGACCUGCUAUGGCAGUAUGGUCUCAGCAAGUUAUUACCUGCCUAUGAGCUGCAGGAUUAUUGCUGGAAGUCCCUAUUUGUGCUCCAAAUAGUCUCUGCUGACUGUAUAAGCAAUGUCUGGGAUAUAAAUGUGCUGCUCCUUUUCAAGUUUGUAGUGAAGCUUUGGUCGUUUUCCUUCUAUGAGUUUCCCCCAAUUGACUAAAGCCCAAAAUAACAACUCCCUUCAUGUGCAGGAUCACAAUAAUUUCUGAUGGGAAAAAGGAGUCCUCGUGUUGGAGCAAGUUGGAAACCCCUGAGCUGGGCUGUCAAGACCGCAUGUCAUUUCCCCUUUAACAGAGUGGGAGUCAUGAGACCUGAGGUCAGGUUCCAGCCCCUCCCCUGGCUGGCUGGCUGAUCUUGGGGGCAGCCCAUGUGACUUGCAGAGCUUUGGUUUCCUCAUCCUGGGGCAGAGAUCAUAGAAAUUAUUUGGCAAGAUUGACAAGAAGAUUAAAUGAGAUAAUGAAAGGGCUUCGAAAGCUGAUGUGUUGCACAAACACAUCAUAAGGACUGUUGUCAUCUUCUCACACAUACUGUCAGCUUCUUAAGGGCAGGGGCAGUGUCUUCUGUUUUUACCUUCAGUUCCCUCAGUGACGCUCCCCCUGACCCCCGCCCCAGCCUCUAUCUCCUGCCCUCAACACAGAACUAUGGAGAUGACCUCGUAAAAACACUGUGAAGUGACUGACCCGGUGGCUUAGCACUUAGAAGUUGCAUCCCUGCGCGUGCACUGUUAUACAGACAGGCAGUCGAGGGCAGAGGUUCAGUGCCUGGGCCCUGGUUCGAGUCCUCUCUCUGCCAUGUGCUGAGUUUGGGCAAGGUUGGCACUUACCUGCCCUGCUGUCCUCAUUCCUCACAGGUGGCUGAUGAGACCAGCAGCUAGUUCUUGAGGUGGUUGUGAAAACUGAAGGACUUGAGACUAUGCCAAGCCAGGCGCGAAUCAAGCCCUCAUAGGCAUCAGCUGUUGUUAUUAUUUUACUAAUUAUAUCCCGAGGUGGUGCCAGAAGAUCAUGAGCAGAAAUCUAGCUCUUGGGAUUUGUUUAGAGCUGAAAAGUUCUUCAAAGAUGGUCCAAAGCUCAGGGCAGGUUCUUACAGUCAGCACAAAUAAUGUAGCUGUGGAUACACUUGAGGAUCAUUCCCCCCAGGUGUGGGCUAGAUCCCCAGACCAGACAUUGUUGGGUAAAAAGUGUGCAUAUUUAGCUUUUGGAUAAAUAUCACAACUGUGCAACACACAGAUGUUUCUGUUUGCAUUCCUUCCCAUCAGAACAAGAGAGCCUGUUUCCUCACACCCCAAUGCACCCACAUUUUAAAGUGUAAAUCUUAUUAAUUUCUGACUUGUGAAUAUUUGCAAGAUGCAAAAAAUUCAAAGAGGUACAAAGGGCAUACAGGAGCACACAGGGGAUUUCCUGUCCAGUGGUUAGGACUUCGUGCUUUCGCUGUCACGGGUAAAGGUUCGAUCCCUAGUCUGGAAAGUAAAAUCCCUCAAGUCAUGGGUUGAGGCCAAAAAACAAAAAAACCAAAAACAACCACCUAAGUCCGCUCCCCAGAAACACAAACUUUGAUCUCAGCCUCUCUGGGAAGUGGAAAGUGGCGUCUCACUAAAUAAAUCUCACUAUUGUAUUUAUGUGAAAACAGACUGGAAUGUAUUGGAGUAGAAUGUUGUAUCUGAAUGAACUUGAAGACUUCAAAGACAUGCUCAAGGGUGGGGCGGGGUGGGGAGCUGCUUCUGCCUGUGCCCCCAACCUGUUCUAGGGGAGAAACUUGGUACAACUCUGAGUUAGUCUGUAGAAUGAAAACCUGAGGAUGUCCCCUGCUCCCUUUGAUUGUACUGGGGCUCUCUGCAUCACCCCAGUCACCUGUUUGCAAUCCUUCCCCCUCGGCCACCACCUUGCUGUCUGACCCUGAGGCAGUCGCCUCUGCUCUGGGCUUCAGUUUUCCUUGAGGGUGGAAUGAUUUGAGAGAAUAGCAUUGAAACAUGUAUAUUGGUGGUUAGUCGCUAAGUCGCUAAGUUGCGACCCCAUGGAGUGUAGGCUCCUCUGUCCAUAGGAUUCUCCAGGCAAGAACACUGGAGUGCGUUGCCAUUUCCUUCUCCAAACAUAUAUAUUACCAUAUGUGAAAUAGAUGACCAGUCCAAGUUUGAUGCAUGAAAUAGGGCACUAAAGCCGGUGCACUGGGACAACCCAAAGGGAUGGGAUGGGGAGGGAGGUGGGAGAGGGGUUCAGGAGCGGGGAGGAAACACUUACGCCCGUGGCUGAUUCAUGUCGAUGUAUGGCAAAAACCAGCACAAUAUUGUAACUAGCCUCCAAUUAAAAUAAAUAAAUAAUUUUUUUUUAAAGGAAGGGUUGGUCUAGGCCCCCAUUUCAGGUGUAAUAUUCCAGGACUGUUCAACUAAUUCACACUGAAGUGUAGGUGACUGAUAACAGCUUAAUGUAUUACCUCUCCCGUGGGUGGGACCAUUUUAAGAGAUGUAAUUUCUCAUCCCCAAAGAAUGAAUGUGCCUGUUGCAAUUUCAGGCACGGUCACAGGUGAGCGGGGGAAGCUGUAGGGGAGGGGCACCUCACCUGGCAUUCCUCCAGCGGUCACUGGUUUUGGGCGGGGGCUGCUCUGGCCGGGGCAGGGUGUUGGCCCUGAAGGGAUGGACGUGCCCUUUGGUCUCCCUCUAGAACUCACAUCACACUUGUUUCUGUCUGGCACUGGCCAAGAGUAGGGUUUUGUCAUACAGAAAAACGCUUCAUCAGGGAAACCCUCGUGUGUGGCCUGGAA